rnacentral:rRNA from 1 species
UUCUUGAAAAUUAAAGAUUUUGGCGGUAUUUUAGUCUAUUCAGAGGAACCUGUUCUGUAAUUGAUAAUCCACGAUUAAAUUUACUUUUUUUUAAAAUUUGUAUAUCGUCGUUAAUUAGAAUAUUUUAUAAGAAUAUUAAUAUUCAAAAUUUAUUAUAAUAGAGUAAAUCAGAUCAAGGUGCAGUUUAUAUUAAAGAAGAAAUGGGUUACAUUAAAUAAAUUUUAGGAUUAUUAUUAUUAUAGUAAUAUGAAUUUGGAUUUGAGGGUAAAUUUAAUUAGUUAAUUAAGUUGAUUUAAGCUCUAAAAUAUGUACAUAUCGCCCGUCGCUUUCAUUUUAUUUUGAAAUAAGUCGUAACAAAGUAGAUUUACUGGAAAGUGAAUCUAGAAAGAUCGAAUUAGAGCUUGGCAUAAGUAUUUUAUUUACAUUAAAAAGAAAAUUGUUAAUUCAAUUUAAUUUGAAAUUUUAUAAUUAUUUAUUAUUUAGGUUUUUUUUAUUUAAAGUAAAAAAAUUAAGGUUUAAUUAUUAUUAAGAAAAAAUUUAAUUUAUAAUAGUUAAUUAGUAUUGUGAAAAAAAUUUAAAAAUUAAUUAAAAAAAAAAAUUAUUUUUUGUACCUUGUGCAUCAGGGUUUAUUAAUUAAGUAUUAUAUAUUUAGUUAUUCCGAAGUUAAAAGAGCUAAAAAAAUAUUUCUUUUAUUGUGAAAUAAAUAUUGAUAAUAUUUUUUUAGUAAUGAAACGUUAUUCGUUUUUAAAUAUAUCUGAUUUUUUAAGAAAUAAAUUUAAUUUAUUUAUUAUUAAUAAAAUUUUAAAUUUAAAGUUUUUUAUUAGUAAUAUUAAAUAUUUUCGGGGAUGAGCUUGAAAAUAAAAUAUUAAUAAUUUAUUUAUUUAAUAAAGUUGUAGAAUUAGAAGUUUUUAUCAAUAAAAAAAUGUUAAAAUUAAUUUAUUUAUCAAUAUUAUUUUUAUAAAUUAUAGGUUUUUUAUUAAAAUGUUAAUUUUAAUUUUUAAUAUUAAGUAAUAAUGAUAGAAUUAGUAUAAUUAUCUGUAAUUAAAUAAAAAAUUUUAGGUUAAUUUAAGGAAUUCGGCAAAUAAUUUUCUACCUGUUUAUUAAAAACAUGUCCUUUUGAUAUUAAUUUAAGGUCUGGCCUGCCCACUGAAAUUUAAAUGGCCGUGGUAUUUUGACCGUGCUAAGGUAGCAUAAUCAUUAGUUUCUUAAUUAGAAACUGGAAUGAAAGGUUGGAUAAGAAAAUAACUGUCUCUGAUUAAAUUUGUUAUAAUUUUAUUUUUAAGUUAAAAAGCUUAAGUUUAGUUAAAAGACGAGAAGACCCUAUAGAGUUUAAUUAUUUAUUAAUUUUAUUUAUUUUAGAAUUUAU